AGCCUGGACCCCGACCCCGGCCACGGUCCCUCGCGCUAGGAACAGCCCCGUCCCCAUCCCCUUUCCCGACCUCCGCCCGCGCGCUCGGGACCGCCCCUUCCCCUUCCCCGACCUCGGCCCGCGCGCAAGUAACGGCCUGGACGGCCUUGGAGAGCGUCGCAGUGCGGUCACCCGCGUCGGCGCCCGGCCGGGGAUGGGGAGAGGGAACUACCAGGACGAAGGUCACGGGGGCCCGAGGGUUCCCCGCGCCGGCGACCGGAGGCGGGGGUCGUGCUCCCGGCCGAACACUCCCCGGGCCGGCGACAACCGCGGCCACCGCUUACCAUGGUGCCGGCCAGGCCUGGCGCGGCCAGAGCCCCACACAGCAGCGCCGGCUUCAGCAAGCGGCACAGGCGACCGAGGCUCAUCGCGGCGGGACUGGGAGCCAGCGGCUCCUCCCCUCGCCCAGCCGACCAAUGGCCGCGCGCCGGCACCACGCGCUUCCCCGCCCGCGGCCACGCCCUCCAGAGCUCUCAUUGGUCAGCCGCGUCGGGUUUGAGCGCUCGCGCCGACACUACCCAAUGGGAGGCCGGGAUGGGAGGAAGGCGGGGAAUGGGGCGGGACCGGACGUACGGGCUGACUGUUGUCGGCGACUGCGCAUGCUCGCUUGCGACCCGGAGGCGGUGUCCAUGCAGGGGGCACAUGGUCGGUGCCACAGAGAAAAAUCAGCACUGAGACAAAGGCUCUUUGAGCAACGCAGUUUUGACUUCGUGGACUGCAGGAGGGCUCCUCUAGAGAGAUGCCCAGCUCUACCCGAGCCUCCCAGUUAUCCGUCUAAACGAGGGACACUUCACUGCCAUCGCACAGGUAGGGAAACUGAAGCUCACUGGCACUAAAGGGGACAUGGGCUGGAUACAACAAAGAGAACCCUGUAGACUUUGGUGUACAAAUAUUUACAGUUCUCACUAGGCUGACCGCCCCUAGGAGCUGAGCUGCCCCUUGGCCCCAUCUAGGCCUCAGUUUCCCCACCCACGCUCCGGCCCCGCUCCGUGGGAUUCUAAACCGCUGCCCCAACGUGGGAGUUGAACGGAAACUACAACUCCCGAGAGGCCGAGCGGCCAAAGACACGGGAGAACUGCGGAGCGAGAGUCUCGUGCAGCCAACUGUCGCGCUCGUAAGGCUCGGGUUGCCCUUGGCGCUGCCGGUCCCAGAUGUUGCUGCAGUCAGGCCUUCGCGGAAGGCAGCCCAGCUCCGGGCGGGGUAAAGCGAAGGGGACCUGACUGGCGUUCGGCGCAGGCGCAGUCCGCGCGAGACGUCACUAGCGCAUGCGUAGGGGGUGCGAGUGGCGACCGCCAUGGACGACGAGGAGGAGACGUACCGGCUCUGGAAAAUCCGCAAGACCAUCAUGCAGGUCAGCCGCGCGCCGGGCAGCUGUUUAGAACCGUGGGGUGGGGCCGGGGGCGCAAGAGGUGGGUGCAGGGGCACGAGGUGGGGUCGAGCUCGGCCUCUUGGCGUAGUCCCGUCGGAGCAGCAGCGAUGAAGGGGCGGGCGGUGACGGGAGGCCUCGAGGCCGCCGGGGUUCUCAGGCGCUGGGCCCGACCUGAGCCGGCAGCGGGGAGGGGGAUUUCGGGACGUUUGGGUGCGGGAGCUUAGGGGUGGUCGGGCGGCUCGGGCCUGGUGCGGCGCGCGUGGCGGCAGGAGGAGGAGGAAGGGGCGCCCCCAGACCCUGCCCCGCUCUGUGGUUCCGCGGCGCCUUUUGUCCCCGCGUCCCGGACCCCCGGGAGUCUCCGCAUCCGAGGUUGGCGGAGUUGGUGGUUGGGCAGCAGCGACCGAGCUGGGGCGGGAGAUGGGGACGUGGAGCCCGGAAGCCGUGCCUCGGGGCCUGGGGCAGACGGAGGCCGCGGGGCUGAGUCGGGUUUGGAAGCCGCGCGGUUCGGAGUCCGGCUCCAGCCUUUGGGGCCGUUCCAGAGCUUUCGCUUUGUCGUCCUUCCCCACCCAUUGCCCUUGUCCUCAGCGAAGCCCACGCAGCCGGAUUCUCCCUCCUCCGGGCCUCGCUGGGAGCCUGUAGUUCAGUUUCCGUCCUUGUCUUUUUUUUUUUUUUUUUGAGACGGUGUUUUGCUCUCGUAUCCAGGCCGGAGUGCAGGGGCGCGCUGUCGGCUCACUGCAGCCUCCGCGUCCCGGGUUCAAGCGAUUCUCCUGCCUCAGCGUCCCGAGUAGCUGGGAUUGCAGGCACCUGUCACCACCCCCGGCUGAAUUUUUUUGUAUUUUGAAUAGAGGCGGGGUUUCACCAUGUUGGCCAGGCUGGUCUGCAACUCCCGACGUCAGAUGAUCUGACCGCCUGGCCCCCCAAAGUGCUGGGAUUACAGGCCUGAGCCACAGCACCCGGCCCCCUGUCUUUUUUUCUUUUUCUCUUUUUUUUUUUUUAAGACGGAGUUUCGCUCUUGUCACCCAGGCUGGAGUGCAAUGGCGCGAUCUCGGCUCACCGCAACCUCCGCCUCCUGGGUUCAAGCAAUUCUCCUGCCUCAGCCUCCCGAGUAGCUGGGAUUACAGGCGCGCGCCACCAUGCCCAGCUAAUUUUUUGUAUUUUUAGUAGAGACGGGAUUUCACCAUGUUGACCAGGAUGGUCUCGAUCUCUUGACCUCGUGAUCCACCCGCCUCGGCCUCCCAAAGUGCUGGGAUUAUAGGCGUGAGCCACCGCGCCCGGCCCUUUUUUUUACCCCCCCUAAAAAAAAGACAAGGGUUUUUCUCUGCCUUCCAGGCUGCAGUGCAGUGCUGCAGUCAUAGCCGGCUGCAUCCUCAAAUUCCUGGCCUUAAGCAGUCUUCCUGCCUCAGCCUCCCUAGCACUCAGAUCACAGUUCUGAGCCUUCGAGCCCGGCUUCCCUCCCUGUCUUUAGGGUCUCUCUGAAAAGUGGUUUGGAGGGCUGGGUGUGGUUGCCAGGUUUGUGCCCUGCCAGGUUCCUGUGAGGCUGGGCCCUGCAAGCCUCUCAGGAUCAUACUGGUCCCAUCCUGUGGUGUGGCUGUGGGGGUAGGGUGGCUGUCCCAAGGCUGAAUGAGUGUUCAGCCUUCUGUCCUCUGCAGCAGCUGCAGGUCUGACUUCUGGGUCAUGAGAUCUGGCCCCCUUCCUCCAUCUGCCCUGAGGUCAGCUGGCUCGCUCUUUUUUUUUUUUUUAAAUAAAGGGGUUUCACCAUGCUGGUCUUGAACUCCC
rnacentral:lncRNA from 13 species